AAAGUACUCCCUCCGUUCAGAAUUACUUGUCGCGGAAAUAGAUGUAUCUAGACAUAUUUUAGUUCUAGAUACAUCCAUUUCCGAGACAAGUAAUUCCGAACGGAGGGAGUAGCUG
rnacentral:pre_miRNA from 1 species